rnacentral:rRNA from 1 species
CAGAACGAACGCUGGCGGCGCGUCUUAAGCAUGCAAGUCGAACGGCAAGAGGUAGCAAUACCUCCUAGAGUGGCGGACUGGUGAGUAACACGUGGGUGACAUACCCUUCAGAUGGGGAUAGCUAUUAGAAAUAGUAGAUAAUACCGAAUACGAGCACAGGGGUUAGAGAUCUGUGAGGAAAGGAGCUAAGGCUCCGCUGAAGGAAUGGCCUGCGGCCCAUUAGCUAGUUGGUGAGGUAAGAGCCCACCAAGGCGAUGAUGGGUAUCCGGCCUUAGAGGGUGAACGGACACAUUGGGACUGAGAUACGGCCCAGACUCCUACGGGAGGCAGCAGCUAAGAAUAUUCCGCAAUGGACGAAAGUCUGACGGAGCGACGCCGCGUGGAUGAAGAAGGCCGGAAGGUUGUAAAAUCCUUUUGAAACUGAAGAAUAAGCGUUGUAGGGAAUGACAGCGUGGUGACAGUAGGUUUUGAAUAAGCAACGGCUAAUUACGUGCCAGCAGCGGC